CAGUCGCCGCGGGAAUACGUAGGGUGCGAGCGUUGUCCGGAUUUAUUGGGCGUAAAGGGCUCGUAGGCGGUUGAUCGCGUCGGAAGUGGAAACUUGAUGCUUAACGUUGAGCGUGCUUUCGAUACGGGUUGACUUGAGGAAGGUAGGGGAGAAUGGAAUUCCUGGUGGAGCGGUGGAAUGCGCAGAUAUCAGGAGGAACACCAGUGGCGAAGGCGGUUCUCUGGACCUUUCCUGACGCUGAGGAGCGAAAGCGUGGGAAGCGAACAGGCUUAGAUACCCCGGUAGUCCCUGUCUCUUAUAC
rnacentral:rRNA from 1 species